GACGAACGCUGGCGGCGUGCUUAACACAUGCAAGUCGAACGAAGUGGCGAACGGGUGAGUAACGCGUAAUCAACCUGCCCUUCAGAGGGGGACACCAGUUGGCAACGACUGCUCAUACCGCAUACUGAAGGAGUGGAUUGCGUCUGCUUAGCUCGUUGGAGGGGUAACGGCCCCCCAAGGCGAUGAUCAGUAGCCGGGCUGAGAGGAUGAACGGCCACAUUGGGACGGAGACACGGCCCAGACUCCUACGGGAGGCAGCAGGGGGGAAUCUUCCGCAAUGGACGAAAGUCUGACGGAGCAACGCCGCGUGAGUGACGACGGCCUGCGGGUUGUAAAGCUCUGUUAAUCGGGACGCGGUACCGGAAUAGAAAGCCACGGCUAACUACGUGCCAGCAGCCGCGGUAAUUC
rnacentral:rRNA from 1 species